AUUUUGUAUCGAAAUACUUUUGUGUUUUACAUUUUGUAGUUUAGAAAUACUGUAAAAUACUUUGUGAGAUCAUAAAAAUACUGCCUCUUAUUGGGCGCCUACUAAGUAAUUUGCCCUGACUUGUUGAGGUCAGAACAGAAAAUUGAGCAUAAAUUGCUACAAUUCUUAACAGUUCCUGUGAAGUUCUGGUGCUUGUUUUAGUAGCCUAGGCUAAAUCAUUUACCAGUUUACAUAAUGUUCAAGCUAGUGUGACACUGGGGUGUUGGCUUGUUCUCUGUCCUUUUCUUUCCACUUCUUUCUUCCUCAUUAGUGAUUGCAGCCACCUGUUCAAGUCCUUAAAAGCUGUGGUGAACCAAGAUGGCUCUCUCUUCCUUGUGACCUCUCUCCUGGAUGAAAUCCCGCAACAAACGCGGAAACACUGGCGUGCCGGCUGUAGCUUUUCUUCAGACAUGUUCAGGCUCUGUUACUUCAACGUUCCCGGCUCAUAGACAGAAUAUUGGCACAAAACUCCCGGGGGGGGGAAAAAAGCAGUGUGACAGUGGCUAUAGACGCACAGGGAGACGGCUUCACGCAACAUGCUGGAAACUCAGGUAAACUCCCACUGCGACGAUACAGCAAUAUUUUGCUCAGCUUGAGGUUGAACUAAUCCAUGCUCGUUACUGUCACGCCCAGCUCACAGUUAGGUUAUGUGUUCAGUUUUUGUCUCUUGUGUCUCGUUCCAGGUCUUCGUCUGCCUUCCCUCCAUGUGUGAUUACCAGUCCCCGCCCUAAUGUGCUGCACCUGUGCCUCAUUGGGUGCGUUCCGAUCGCCCUGUAGUUCCCUGCUAAGUGGACUGCCAUUUUCCAAACCGCAGGGAGCACAACAUGUUAACUUCAAAGGGCACUGUGAACUGUGUAGGGAAGAAGGGAACAACGGUUCAUCAGUUCGCAGGAAGUUGACAAGAAAGAUUACCCAUAAGCCUUUGCACCUCAUAGGAGCUAACAAUAGAGCAGACCACACAGUUUGUAUAUCUGUAAUUAUUGUCAUUGUAACUAAUGUUAUCAUUAUUUAUGAUUAUUUCAGAGUCUAGGUUGCCUAAAAACAACAAUGCUCAUAUGAAUCUUUUUAAGAAUAACGCUGCUUACGUACAUUUUAAUAUAAUAUAAAUAGAAGUUAUGGAAAUAUAAAUUUUGUAUUUAUAUUAGUUUGUUUUAACAUAUUCAAUAUUUUAAUUUCAGUAAAUGUCCACAGUAGCAGCGGGUUCCCUUAACCGACAUUCCCUGAGCAGGGAGCAGGGAGUACUGUUUAUGUACACUGUGGAUUGGAACGCAGCCAUUGUCUACCAUGCCCUAGUGUAUACCCUUGUUCCCUUUGUACCUUUGCCAGUUCUUCUUGAUCCCUUGUGUCAGCAUUCCAGCAAUUUUCCAUUGUGAGCCUUAGUGUGUUUUGAACUCAGCCUUCUGUUUUUUGACUUAGACCUCUGCCCUGCGAUUUUGUACCGCUGCCUGCGAGUUUUUGAAACUUGUCCAAUAAACUGUCUUUUGUGAACCA